UAGAGCAAUCCCAUAAUGCUUUGCGUUGUGACGUCUGCCGCUUGUGACAUGCGCAAAUGAGUUGUACCCGGAAGCCCCCGGUGUAAACAAUGGAUUUGUUAGCCGGCGUAAUCAAGAUUACUGUUAUUUUUUGCGCGUUUGUUUUGAAACUGCAGCAUCAGAGGAACAUGCUUCUUCUUCAGGACUUGUUCAGAAAGAAACGAGCGCGGCGGAAUGUGUUUUUACGUGAUGUAGCACGGAGCACGGUUAGUAAAGCCGUAAUGAAAACACCGACGGAUUAAACACCUGAUUUACGAGCCAAAUGAAAAUGAAGCCUUGGAGAUCAGACGGAGCUUUGAGGAAACAUCAUAUCCCUCAAAUAAUGGGACUAACUGACUGAACUCACAGACACAUGCAGGGUGUGAAAAACACUGAGGGCGAAGCCGUGCAGCUACAAAUCAUUGGUGACCCUGCAGAUCCACUCCGUGACUGGUUGUUGAAAGGCCACAUAAAUUCUACACAUCUGACCCCAGAGAAGAAAUCUGUUCAUGUGAACCUCAGCUCACUCUGUGUAACAGUAGAAAACACUUCAUGGAUUUUGAAGUCAAGGGGGAGGGGGCUACGGGUUGGGGAACGCUGGUCACUUUGAUGGCAUGUCUCCUCAGCCUGGAUCACAGGUCUUGAUGCAGAGCCAUUCCGGUGGGAGCAGGACAACGAUGGCAUUGAAGGAGUACAUGUUCAAUCACUUCCCUCUCUGAAAUGGUCAUCUCCAUUAACAAAAUAAUAAUUAAAAAAAUCUGACAAACACAUUUUUUUUAUUAUUAUUAAAGUGAAUACAACUUUCUUCCAUACACAUAUAUAAAAUAAAAACCUGGCAGCACCACAACAAUUUGGUUAAAAAUAAAAUAUAGUGCUAAAAACUUUUAUUCACUUCCAUCAGAGCUUGGCAUGACUUCUUAAACUGCCAUUGCUGUGAUGUCAGAUCAUAAAACCGAAUCCUAAAGGUGGCUCUUUGUCAGCAAAAUAACAUACUUCCAGGAAAAAAUUUGAAGAAACUUAACAUCAGGGCCAGUUUCUUAUAUUCAGUUUCUACAUGUUGUGUGGGCUGUAGACAAAGUUUCCAUUGUUAUUGGGUUGGGUGGUCAGGUGGCUAGCUGUGAUUCGUGAUGAAAUAGUGGACUUAGUAGAGGACCUAGCUGAGAUGCGUGCACAUCAUUUAGGAGAGGUUAACUCACCUGUUCCAGACUAAUAUGGGUCAUUGACAGGCACAGGCAGCUGAUUUACUGGUAGAUUUACGCAUUAAAAAUUUAUCCAUUUUGCUCCUGGCAUGUUAGCUAACAAUGUUUUCUUUUAACUUUUUUCCCCUUCUUUUGUUGGCUCUUCAUCUUUU